AACGAACGCUGGCGGCAGGCCUAACACAUGCAAGUCGAGCGAGGACUUCGGUCCUAGCGGCGGACGGGUGAGUAACGCGUGGGAACGUGCCCUUUGCUUCGGAAUAGCCCUGGGAAACUGGGAGUAAUACCGGAUGAGCCCUUUGGGGGAAAGAUUUAUCGGCGAAGGAUCGGCCCGCGUUGGAUUAGGUAGUUGGUGGGGUAAUGGCCUACCAAGCCGACGAUCCAUAGCUGGUUUGAGAGGAUGAUCAGCCACACUGGGACUGAGACACGGCCCAGACUCCUACGGGAGGCAGCAGUGGGGAAUCUUAGACAAUGUGGGAAACCCUGAUCUAGCCAUGCCGCGUGAGCGAUGAAGGCCUUAGGGUUGUAAAGCUCUUUCAGCUGGGAAGAUAAUGACGGUACCAGCAGAAGAAGCCCCGGCUAACUCCGUG
rnacentral:rRNA from 1 species